AUGCCCUCGAGCUCCGCCACGUCCAGCAGCCGGCAGCACAGGGAGCACAACGUCGAGCUCCGCUGCGAGAGCAGGACGGCGCCGCUACUGCUCCAGCGCGGCGAUGAAGGCCAGCGGAUAAAGGACGGAGAGGACCGGAGCCAGGGGAGGAGAAGGACACGUACGGCGACGACGAUGAGGACGAGCGUGCGCAUCGCCAUGGUGGCGGCGGUUGUCCUGCUGCUCGCCACGACGGCGACGGCGCAUUUCCGGAUGGACUUGAUGGACGGCUACCGGCCGCGGCAUGGACGGAGCCGCUUCCGCGCCGGAUUCGUACCAUGGACGCAGGACGAGCAGAAGGACGUGCAAAAACAAGGGUGGUCGAAGGAACCACAAUAG
rnacentral:rRNA from 1 species